AUUGAACGCUGGCGGCAUGCUUUACGCAUGCAAGUCGAACGGUAACAGGUUAAGCUGACGAGUGGCGAACGGGUGAGUAAUGCAUCGGAACGUGCCCGGUCGUGGGGGAUAACGCAGCGAAAGCUGCGCUAAUACCGCAUACGAUCUGAGGAUGAAAGCGGGGGACCGUAAGGCCUCGCGCGAUCGGAGCGGCCGAUGUCAGAUUAGGUAGUUGGUGGGGUAAAGGCUCACCAAGCCGACGAUCUGUAGCUGGUCUGAGAGGACGACCAGCCACACUGGGACUGAGACACGGCCCAGACUCCUACGGGAGGCAGCAGUGGGGAAUUUUGGACAAUGGGCGCAAGCCUGAUCCAGCAAUGCCGCGUGCAGGAAGAAGGCCUUCGGGUUGUAAACUGCUUUUGUACGGAGCGAAAAGGCUCUCUCUAAUACAGGGGGCUCAUGACGGUAUCGUAAGAAUAAGCACCGGCUAACUACGUGCCAGCCGCCGCCGUAAGAC
rnacentral:rRNA from 1 species